AUUGAACGCUGGCGGUAUGCUUAACACAUGCAAGUCGAACGGUAGCAGGCCUUCGGGCGCUGACGAGUGGCGGACGGGUGAGUAACGCGUAGGAAUCUGCCUUAUAGUGGGGGACAACGUGGGGAAACCCACGCUAAUACCGCAUACGCCCUACGGGGGAAAGUGGGGGAUCGCAAGACCUCACGUUAUUCGAGCGGCCGACGUCUGAUUAGCUAGUUGGUGGGGUAAUGGCUCACCAAGGCGACGAUCAGUAGCGGGUCUGAGAGGAUGAUCCGCCACACUGGGACUGAGACACGGCCCAGACUCCUACGGGAGGCAG
rnacentral:rRNA from 1 species